rnacentral:rRNA from 1 species
CAGCAGCCGCGGUAAUACGUAGGUGGCAAGCGUUAUCCGGAAUUAUUGGGCGUAAAGAGGGAGCAGGCGGCAGCAAGGGUCUGUGGUGAAAGCCUGAAGCUUAACUUCAGUAAGCCAUAGAAACCAGGCAGCUAGAGUGCAGGAGAGGAUCGUGGAAUUCCAUGUGUAGCGGUGAAAUGCGUAGAUAUAUGGAGGAACACCAGUGGCGAAGGCGACGAUCUGGCCUGCAACUGACGCUCAGUCCCGAAAGCGUGGGGAGCAAAUAGGAUUAGAUACCCUAGUAGUCCACGCCGUAAACGAUGAGUACUAAGUGUUGGAUGUCAAAGUUCAGUGCUGCAGUUAACGCAAUAAGUACUCCGCCUGAGUAGU